rnacentral:lncRNA from 1 species
UGCGCACGGCCUGCGUGAGUCCCGCAUCCGUCACGAAGCGGCACAACUGAGGCGGAGCGGCGAAGCACCAACCGAGCAGAUGGCUGCUCCUCCGAGGUGUUGCUGGAGUGCGGUAAACAGGGGGUGGAGGCCCGGGCCCUGCGGCGUCACCCUGCGUCCCGUCCCUCUCGCCGCCGCUUCCCUCAACGCGCGCCCUCCAGUCGUCGCACCGGGGCACCUUUUUGGCAGAAGGUGGCGUAGCGUUGGGCUCCAAGGAGAGGAGAACCUUCUCAGGCGUGGAGAGACACUGAAGCGUGAAUGUGCUUGAAGUCUUGGAUCGUCCUCCUCGGCACCUGCUUGUCCGUGUUUGCUGUAAGAACGUGACGAACUCCAGCGGAACCUGCUGCUGUUAGCGAGCGGACGCAGCUGUCGGUCCUCGUCCCGCUCCGUACCGAGAGCUCCAUCCACGGACGCACCAUGAUGUUCCUUUAACCGCGAUGAGCUGCAUCCUGUUACCUGCUGCUUCCCUUUUCCCUUCCACUGAAGUACCAUUGUUGGCAAAAUUGCCUGAGGUCUCCGAUCGCUGUUGGGAUACAGUUAAGAACGAUGCCUACAGCUGAAUUGCGGCUUGUAAGUAAAGGUGCACUCCUGGCCCGUAAUGGCCCACUUCAGAAGUCCAACAUAUCUUGAAACAAGAGCCUUCCUGCACUUGGGGAAAAUAAUCCAUCUGGUGCUUCUCAACUACCUUCAAAUCUCAGGUGGAAUCUCUUCAGGGAAGAGACGUUCAACACUUGACUGCACAACCAUUCAAAGACCGAUGCAUUGCCGUGCAAAACCGGCACCAUCCACUACCCUGUGAUGCUCUUUGUAGAUGUUUGCAAUCGUAACCACUUCUGACUAGUGAGCAAUUGGUGUUAUUGUCCAGUUUUAACAUUGAAACAAGUCAGCGGUUGAAAAGGACCUCUGCAAACUCACUCUUCCGCUUGGCAAGUUAAAAUGUCUACAUAUAGCAACCAUGGAUGAAAGAGCACUUUCUUACUGACUGGAGCCAAGCUGAGCCUUAUCAGGAUUAUAUUUUUGACUUCUGUUUAAAUAGAGGCCUCAUGGCGUAUAGGGAACACGAAGACCUGUAUCAGUGCUUUGUUUGAAACAUCAAUACUGGUACCUUAUCUGGGCCAGGGCAAGGACAUGAGAAAUGCAAGAUAAGAGGAGAAGAAGGCUAACAAACAGGAAUGUUAAAGACACGCUAGUGGCACGUAGACAGACCGCAGGCAGACUGUGCUCCUGUAGGAGCUCUGGUGUGAAUAAGGCUGGCAGAAGUGGGCCACUGUGGUCC